rnacentral:rRNA from 1 species
AUCACCUCCAGCAUUCCCAGUAUUGGAGGCAUUGCCUGCCCAGUGACAACUGUUUAACGGCCGCGGUAUCCUGACCGUGCAAAGGUAGCAUAAUCAUUUGUUCUCUAAAUAAGGACUUGUAUGAAUGGCCGCACGAGGGUUUUACUGUCUCUUACUUCCAAUCAGUGAAAUUGACCUUCCCGUGAAGAGGCGGGAAUGCACAAAUAAGACGAGAAGACCCUAUGGAGCUUUAACUAACCAACCCAAAGAGAAUAAAUUUAACCAUUAAGGAGUAACAACAAUCUCCAUGAGUUGGUAGUUUCGGUUGGGGUGACCUCGGAGAAUAAAAAACCCUCCGAGCGAUUUUAAAGACUAGACCCACAAGUCAAAUCACUCUAUCGCUCAUUGAUCCAAAAACUUGAUCAACGGAACAAGUUACCCUAGGGAUAACAGCGCAAUCCUAUUCAAGAGUCCAUAUCGACAAUAGGGUUUACGACCUCGAUGUUGGAUCAGGACAUCCUGAUGGUGCAACCGCUAUCAAAGGUUCGUUUGUUCAACGAUUAAAGUCCUACAUGAU